UACGUAGGGUCCGAGCGUUGUCCGGAAUUACUGGGCGUAAAGAGCUCGUAGGUGGUUUGUCGCGUUGUUCGUGAAAACUCACAGCUCAACUGUGGGCGUGCGGGCGAUACGGGCAGACUUGAGUACUGCAGGGGAGACUGGAAUUCCUGGUGUAGCGGUGGAAUGCGCAGAUAUCAGGAGGAACACCGGUGGCGAAGGCGGGUCUCUGGGCCGAUAUCGACGCUGAGGAGCGAAAGCGUGGGGAGCGAGCAGG
rnacentral:rRNA from 1 species